AAUCAACGCUGGCGGCGUGCCUCAGACAUGCAAGUCGAACGCGAAAGUCCCCUUCGGGGGACAAGUAGAGUGGCGCACGGGGGAGUAGCACGUAGGUAAUCUACCUUCGGAUGGGGAAUAACAAUCGGAAACGGUUGCUAAUACCGCAUAAUGCAGCGGCACCUAAUGGUGACAGUUGUUAAAGCGGGGGAUCGAAAGACCUCGCGUCUGAAGAGGAGCCUGCGGCGGAUAGCUAGUUGGUAAGGUAACGGCUUACCAAGGCGACGAUCCGUAGCCGGCCUGAGAGGGCGGUCGGCCACACUGACACUGACAUACGGGUCAGACUCCUACGGGAGGCAGCAGUCGGGAAUUUUGGGCAAUGGGCGAAAGCCUGACCCAGCAACGCCGCGUGAAGGAUGAAAUCCCUCGGGAUGUAAACUUCGCAAGAACAGGAAGAAUAAGUGGGGGACAAUACCCCCAUGAUGACGGUACUGUUUGUAAGCUCCGGCUAACUCCGUGCCAGCAGCCGCA
rnacentral:rRNA from 1 species